rfam:Eimeria praecox, Houghton, WGS project CBTT01000000 data, contig: Eph_contig1659_4
UCAGCGGGGAAAGAAGACCCUGUUGAGCUUGACUCUAGUCCGACUUUGUGGAACGACUUGGGGGGUGUAGCAUA